UCAAGGAGGUAUGAUAAGGUGUAGAAGAUGCAAUCUAAGGGAGGAGAUGGCAGAGUGCUGGCUGCCCCUUUCCACGCCGUGUCGGCUCUUAACAGCCUUUAACAUUCUGGGGUGAAACUUUAAAGACAGAGAACAGCUUUGAGAAAGGGAAGAACUGUAGGUCUUUCACGAGAUGUACUGCUCUAUCAAGUGGAACAAUUCAAGUCUGAAUAAAGAAAAUAAAAAUUGCUUUAUCAGUUCAGAACAAAACUACAUCUUACCCAGUCAGUUCCUAAGAGUAAGCCAAGCACCAGCAGUUGCUUGAAGAAGUGAAAAAACCCCCAUGGUAAAUGCAGUGAUAUCUUCUCGGGAUAUGUUCCCGGCCUCCAAAUAUCUGUAUUUCCAGGGCAUUUUGAGAUGCAGGGACAGCACAGUGGCAAACAGUGGAAGAAUUAAAAUCACACUGACAUUGCUUAUAUGCCUCCAAAUCCCAGUGCUGUUCAGACUAUGAUUAAAUGUCCCAAGACAGAAUUCAACACCUGGCUGAAAAGUUUUGCACCUGGCUUCAGUGCUUGAUUCUCAUCUGGAGAGGAGCUGAGGGAACACACCUUGGACUUCUUCCAGCACUGCCUUUCAGAGUACUCGUGUGUGCAAACAGAAACAAGAGGUCAGCAACCAAAGAAAGCAUCAUUGCCACAACAGACACUGCCAAGUGAGGUGAUGCUGUCUGUAUCCGUCAGUUUGGAGGUAAUGCUAAUGGCUGGAAGCUUUUGUGUCCCUGCUGGACCCAUUUCCCUAUCCCACAGUGGCUGUUGAGCUAAGACAGUAUUUUGGGAAGAAGGCAGACCUAGAAAUUUGCAACAGGAAAUUAUUUCUCUUAAAGUACCCCAUAUUUAGGAUGGAGGCACUUUUAAACACAGAUCAAUGCACUGGUCUCCACCAAGUGACUGCCAAGAAAGGAGUGCACAUUACAGCUAGAGAGAGAGCAAACAACUGGAAUGGGAGGGGUGGAGGGAAAUCUUGCAAGCUUUUCCCCGAAGAAGCAGCCCUGAUCCUGUGGUUCUGCCACACUCCAGGAUAAACAAGACAUCUGUGUAGCAGAACAUUGUCACAGGAUCAGGAUUUCCUAUUUCAAAAGUAACCAUCAGCUUAGCCCCAUAUUUAUUUUAAGUACCUCAGCUUUGCCCUGGUGUUCAUGUAGCAGCACCAGCAGUUAAUUUUCCUGUGACAAUGUUCUAUUCUGCUGACAUUAUCUCUUAAAUAUAAGACUAUUCUAUUAAGGUGGAUGAAUUGAAUUUCAUUUCCUCUCACUUCAAAUAAUGUCAUUCUAUUCACAUCGCUUUCAGUACAUCAUUGCAGAGGAUGGACUUUUGUUAGAGGCUGGUACCUGCUAAUGCUGUUACAGCAAGGGUAGAGAUUUCCAUUAUAAAUCCUCUUUUAUGGUGUUUUAAAUCAGCUAGAAAAGUUCCCUCCAAGAUGAAAACUGGCACCAGGAAAGAAAAAAUAAAAAAUUGAAGUUAAGAAUGAUUUAGCUUGGUUGUUUUAAAUAUCUUUCAAUUGCAUAAAUAAAUGGAAAGUUUAUCAGUACAAGACAUAUUUAGAAUUUCUAUGA